GGAGAGGUGGCUGAGUGGUUGAAAGCGCCAGAUUGCUAAUCUGUUGUAUGAGAUUUUGUCAUACCGAGGGUUCGAAUCCCUUCCUCUCCU
rnacentral:tRNA from 1 species